GCCGUCUUGGUUCGUCUUCAGCACUCUGGUCUGGUUGAAAUAAAGCUUUAAUUCACCCAUUCACAUGUGGAGAUAUGCUGCUCCAUACACGAUAAAAGUCCUGAUUAUUCAAAUGGAGCCUGGUGUUGCAUUUAUGACAUUAAAA